UGGUUUUGUUUGUUUUUUUUAAUAUGUUUUUGUUGAUUUCAGCGAGAGGAAGGGAGAGAGAAAGAUAGAAACAUCAGUGAUGAGAGAGAAUCAUGGAUCGGCUGCCUCCUACACACGCCUCCUACUAUGGAUUGAGUGCGCAGCCCGGGCAUGUGCCCUGACUGGGAAUGGAACCGUGACCUCCUGCCUGAUUCGUGGGUCAACGCUCAAUCAACUGAGCCACACCACUGGGCCAGAUACGUCUGUUAUAUUCUGAACCCACACAUGUUUUCGGAAGGACCAGAUGGCUGACACUGGCUAAUGGGAACCAAAAGACAAGAGUGAAAGUGGGGAAAAAUCAAGUGCAGACUGAGCUGUGGCCAACGUUUGCAGACCAGGAAUCCACACUAGCUCUAAUCAGAGAGCUCUUGGUGUGCAGGAACUGCCCGUUUGCCGACGUGAAAAGAGCCCCAGACUGGGUAUUGGUGAGCCCUGAAGUCGCACCCCAGCUCUGCCACUCAGUGAGCACGGCAACAUCCCUAAUCCUGACCAGCCAUGGAGAGGUUCGGUUCUUACAAGGAAAAUGAGUGAAUGUGGGAAUGGCUCACCACAUUGGGAAACAAAACUCACAUCCUGCUGAUGGUUGGCUGAGGACUGUCAUGUCCACAUACAAAGAAAAGCAUGUGGCACAGUUUUAGGACAAAGACAGGACUUUUCUCCAGUCUCCCUCUUCAGAGAAGAUGUUUGGA